GUCGCCGAUAAUCGCGGACCUUCGAAUUUUAUCUGUGUCAUCCGUGAAACCAGGGUAGGUUUCCAUGCUUGACUCAUACUUGUGACCGGUCAGCAUCAUGAUCAUCAUGAUGUGUCGAGAUGGGACCUGUGCACUAUCAAGAACUUAUACUGUUGUAGCACGCAGGGAGUGGUUGGUGUACUUGGUGGAUGGACCAGCCUUCAUACUGACAGUUGGAUCAUGGAUCCAAGUCAGAUAUGUCUGAGAGGCACGGCUUUGUAGUACACCCCAAUCGUGGCUGUUUCUCUUCACACAGUCCUUCUGCAAGGCCUUGAUCCUUUGAUUCAAAAUGGCGAAAUAUACACGUCUACUUU